UAAUGAUGAUGAUGAUGAUGAUGGUGAUGAUGAUGAUGAUGAUGAUGGCAACGACGACGACGACGACGACGACGAUGAUGAGAAGAAUCAUCAACAUCCUCAUCAUCAUCAUCAUCAUCACCAUCAUCA
rnacentral:pre_miRNA from 1 species